rnacentral:rRNA from 1 species
GGUUGAUCCUGCCAGUAGUCAUAUGCUUGUCUCAAAGAUUUAAGCCAUGCAUGUCUAAGUAUAAACACGUUUAUAUGGUGAAACUGCGUACAGCUCAUUAUAUCAGUUAUGAUUUCUUUGAUGGUCUCUCUACAUGGUAUACCCGUAGUAAUUCUAGAGCUAAUACAUGCGUAAAAUCCCGACUCGCGAGGGAAGGGAUGGAUUUAUUAGAUACAAAACCAACGUUGGCUUGCCAACUUCCACGGUGACUCAUCAUAACUAACCGAAUCGCAUGGCAUCUUGCUGGCGAUAGU